UGUAUUAAGCAUUAAGCAGCGAAGGCCUUUCCUUUUACAUUUUGUUCGGUGGCGGGGGGCGGACUUCCAUUUCUAUAUCCUUCUUCCCUCAGCCAUCACUUCUAAAAGGAGACGUGGCGGGGCUUAAACCACGAAUCAUGCUACCUGAUCCGGAGCUUGUGGUGGUUACCUGUUGCUGGGGGGGGGGCGGAUUCUGCGCAUGCUCCCCACCACCAAAGAAAACUCGCUCCCGCUUCUUACUGCUUCGUGUAUUCCAGAGUACAGCUGUAAUUGGCGCGGAGAGAAACUCGAGGAGGAGAACACCCCCACCCUUUUACCUCAGUUUCCCCUUCAGGCUCAUUCAGUGUGCGGCCUUUAAAGUGCUGCCCCUUCCCAAGGACUUCCUUUGGCAUCCUCCCCCCCCCCUCCUUUUGACUUGACAGAAAUAAGGGGGCAGAAAUAAUGCUAUGCUGUAUAACCACGUUAAUGGCGCUUUGGCAGUUUGAGGUUCUUUUUCGUCAACAUUUCCUUCACUUUGGCUGAACAGGUUGGCUCAGCAUGCACAUUCAAAUAUUAAAGCCUUUGCUUGGUUCUUGCAACCCCUUGACAGCCCCCCCUCCAGAUGAGGUAGUAAUCCCCACCUACGCACCAGAGAUGUGGGAGCUAAACCAGCCAAUCUACUCUUCCCAGUGGAGGUUCGCGUCCCGCCGGCUCACUUGGCCAGGAACAAGCAUCUGUUACUCAGGGUAAGUCAAAAGCAAUCAGGUGUGAUAUUAGCCGGCUUGCUGUGCGGUAUGAACAGAAGAGCUCCAUGUUCAUGGGGAAAUGGAACAUUUGGGUAGACCUGCUGGGCACAUUGUUCUCGAAGUUGAUGUGAAAGCUAAAUCUGCAGGUAAUGCUGCUCUACAGACUCUCCCAUUACCUCAGCACAAUGCCUUCUGCCCACCCACCCCACUUCCCGGCCCGCUAACUCCUUUUGAAAGGCUUGCCGAGCUGACACAUUGUGGUUCUUAGGUGUGGAAUUUGCACAGCAGCUGUCAUUCGCUCCUCUCAAUCAAUAUGUUAGACAAGAACAUGAAAAGAGAACACAAUGGUCAAAGAGAGAGAGAAAUCAUACGUGCAGCUUUGAGCCAGCCAGCAGCCACUCCACUGAACGGUGCAAAACAUGUAAUUUGAAUGUCCUGGACCAGGGAUAGACAGGUUUCAAGCUUGUCUGAUAAGUUUUGUUUUGUUCUAGAACUCCAGGAUCUAUCAGCCAGAGCCAGGUGCAAAAGACAUAGAUUUAGAAUUAAAAACAAACAACUGAGUGCCUCUAAACCUUACAGAUUUGUUUACAGAACCAAAAUUGAACCAAGGCAACAUGAUAGACGUGGCGUGGAGAAAGUUGAUAAAGAAAAGAAAUCUGUCUCAUAACAUUAGAACUCAUGGGCAUCCAAUGAAAUUGAAAGUUGGGAGAUUCAGGACAGACAAAAGCACAUACAGGCAACAACCAUUUUUACACUUGUUUAGCAGGCAUGCAUCGCUGCAACCCAGAAGUGGCCGGGAAAGGGGGCAGGACGAGGUGGGCUUCCACCCUCUCCACCAAUAUGCGGGGGUUGCCUGUAGUUGAACUUUAGAAUUCACUCUGACUAAAGGCAGUGGUGGGUGGCCACCAUGUUGGGCGAUUUUAAAAGAGGAUUAAACUUCAUGGAGGUUAGCAGUGGCUCCCAACCCUAAAGGCUGUGUUCCAUCUCUGCUGUUGGAAGCAGUAUGCUUCUGAAUACAGCUGCUGGAAACUGCAGGAGGCAAGAGUGCUCUUUCGCUUGGUGCUGCUUAUGGGUUUUCCAUAGGUGUCUGGUUGGCCACUGUGAGAACAGGAUGCUGGACUAGGUGGGCCACUUGCCUGAUGCAUCUGACUCUUUUGCGCUCACAGUCCUUUCAUCCAAGUCCAUUCAUAUUUGUAGCCUAAUUUAGGAGGAAAGGGUUUUUCCUUGCUCUUGGACAACUAAGAGUUGGAAACGCUUACUGAUGUACAGCAAAUCACUCAGAGAUCUAACAGGAGACCUGCAUCUACCUUCUCCCCGGCCUUGUCCUAUAUGGCAUUUCAGUAGCCUCAGAACUGAGCUAUACUACUCAAUGCUAUAUCAUUAUUUAUUUCUUAUAUUUUUCCCUUCCCUUCUCCCCAUAGGAGCUAAGGGCAGCAAACAACAAAGUAGUAAACAACACCAUUAAAAACAAAAUAAUAACCUGGUUUUUUUAAAAAAAAUACUAAAAACAAUUUAAAAUACUUUAAAAAUAGUUGCAUACCCUCUGAGCUAAUACUUUUAAGGUUACUAGGAACAGUAUUAGCCACAAAAUGCUUGUGUGAAAAGGAAUGUUUUAAAAUUCUGCAGUAAUGCUAACCAUGAGGGAGGCAGAUGCAUCUGACCAGGGAAGGCAUUCCAGAAACAGGAAACCACCACUGAGAAGGCUCUGUCAUGGGUCCUCAUCACCGUCCGGGCAGCUAUGUGAACUAGCAUAGGAUAGCAGCUGAGAGACUUCAGCCGAUUCAGAUCUCUCUUUGACCAAGACCUCUCUAGGACUGCAAUGCUACACUCACUUAAUCUGGAGAUAGUCACAUUUAAAUUCUUGGGACUUCUUCCUGUUCUUACUCCCAGGUGCACCCAGCUUUAUUCACUCUUUAUUCCAGUGGCCCAUAGGUCUUGUUUCCAGGCCAACCUACUAAGUAUAGCAGCCAAGGAAGGGAAAGAAUGCUGGCUCAUAUUUACUCCUGCACGAAAAAGUGGUGGUGGUAAAGGAGAAUCCACCACAGGUACAGGAAAACAUAAUUAAUUGAGCAGGUGUUUGUUUUUAUUCCUGCUGCUAUAAAAUUACAAAGAGGAAUUCAGAAGAACUUGGUUGAAUGCUUGGUAAGGAUAUAUGCAUAUAUAUUCUUCCUGCUUUUACUAAUGAAAAGGCUAUUAAGUUAAAUAUACAGUCUUAAGGUCAUUCUCCAAAAGAAGUCAAGAUUAGAAAAUGUAUUUUACUGGUUUAAAGUUUCUUGAAGAGCAUAACUAGAAAUGUGUGCAUACUGAAUUUAUUUUCUUCUUUUAAAUAAUGACUAACACAUUUUUCCUUUCUUUCUUUCUGCACCCAUGGACAUUCUUUUCCCCUUUUUGUGCUUUUCUGUUUUUUCUUUUUGCAUAUACAGUGGUACCUCGGGUUAAGUACUUAAUUCGUUCCAGAGGCCCGUUCUUAACCUGAAACUGUUCUUAACCUGAAGCACCACUUUAGCUAAUGGGGCCUCUGUGCCACCGGAGCACAAUUUCUGUUCUCAUCCUGAAGCAAAGUUCUUAACCCAAGGUAGUAUUUCUGGGUUAGCGGAGACUGUAACCUGAAGCGUAUGUAACCUGAGGAGUAUGUAGCCCGAGGUACCACUAGCACCAAAUAGUAACAUAUCCAACCUUGUCAGGGAACAGCCACAAUUUUGAACUUUUGCCUAACGUUGCUCUUCACCACUACCACCAUUAAAGCGCUAUGCUGCUUGUGUUUGCUGCUAAGGAGCGUGCUUCUUACUAUUGGUUGUUCUGGAAAACUUUCCAAGACAUCUCUCUAAUUCCACUGACUCUGUUCAUUGUACAGAGCAGUAAAUAAUGGGUAGGGCAAUAAAUGCUGACAGAGUUGGUCCUUAAUUCUGAAGAGGCCAGAUUUUACAGCACCUUGGGCUAAGUUGGCAGUGAGCCAGAAGUCCAAAGCUUGCUCCUUGUUGACAUAUAAAUGCACAUAGUCAUUAGACUUUAUUUUACAGUAUACUGGGUUGUGUUGACAACCGCAGGAGACAGGGUUGCUAGAUAUUCUGUACACCUGAGCAGAAUACAUACUGAGCUAAAUUGAAGAAUGCAAAAUAAGUAAAUAAAAUAAAAAUCUUUCUCUUUACAUGGAGCUUUGUUUUACUGACUGGUUGCUCUUUGUAGUGCAGGGUAUACUUUCAUGUUUUAUUGCACAUAGAUUAAAUGUUUCUUCUGAAAAAAUUAACAAUCAGACUGAAAUCCUCUUUAUGUCGUACCUGUUUGCUUAUCCAAAGCAAUUAAAAGGGAAAGGGCAGCUUUUGACAAUGCAGGCAGCUGAAUAAUUUAAUUAGUCAAUAUAUAAUUGCUCUGAGCAGAAGCACAUGCAAGCUAGAUCCCCCUACAAGCCCAUCAAACUGUCUAUAUGAUACUGACCUGCAUAAAAGGAUUAUGCUGCUGAGAGAUACGUAAUUACUUGCAUUGUGCUUAGGGUUUCUUCAUGGGGUGUGUAUUGAAGUUGCUUAUUGUCUAAGUCUAGUAACAAUAGAAUUGUGUCAUUUAUCUGCUCUGUCCUUGACUGUUUUAGGGCAGUCUCCAGUUGUUGUUUUUAGAAUCUUUAUAGACCACAUUUUAAAAACUCAGUCAGGCAAUAGUUUUAGGAUCAACCAAAAUGUCACAAAAUAGUAAGCAAGUUUUAAAAAUUCUCCAGAACUCAUCAUCAGGUUAGAGAUUAAAACAAUCCAGCCUGAUGGGGAGUUCUGCAGAACCCGAAAGCUUGCUCACUAUUUUGUGGCUUACUUUGCUUGGCCCUAAAAAGAAACACUUAACAAUGGGUUCUUCACUUCUUUUUCUAAUAGAGUAACAUGGCUUUCUUUACUUUUUGUGUUUUCUAAAAUAAUACAGGCAUAACCUGUACAUUAUAUUUCAUUUUAAUGUACUACUGUAGAUCUACUGUUAUGAUCAUAGGAUUUUAAGGGAACUUCUUCUAGUCCAGUCCUCUGUUCUAAAGUAAAAACAUAUAUACCACAUGUUAACAUUCUGGUCUACAAAUUAACCCAGGGUGCAAUGCACCGCAGAGAGACCCACCAUUUUUAAUGGUUUAGUAAAACAAUCCAGAGUGAGGUGUUCAACAUGAUAUAUGAGAAGACAAUUAAUCCACCUCGAUGCCUAGAUAAUCUGAUCCAAUGGAAAAUUCCUAUGGUGAUGAGAGGCAGCAGAAAGAAAAACCCAUUCACUAAGGCUACAGUCCUAUACAGAUGUGGAUUUAAGCCCUGCUGACAUUGAGACUUCUGAGUGGACUAAUAUAUUACUGUAAAUUACCAAAUAACUGACCACUUAAUGAAAGAUGGCCAUGCCAAAUAUCUGCAUCUCUGAUCAUGCAAAGUGCAGGGGAGAAUCCUUUUAAAUAGACCCUAGCUGAAGAACCAAAUUAUGUGCUUUUCAAGACUCAGGUUAAUUUUUCUGGAGGUGAUCUUUGUCUAAACUUUUGAAAAGCAAAGUGGGUCUGCAUGAACUUUCUGUCUCCAUAGGGCACGGGGAGAAGGCUGAUCUGGGUCACAGAGGAGAGAAGUGACCAGUGGGUGAUGCCCACUGUAUUCACUCAAAAAUUCAAAUGUCCCCACGUGCACAAGAAGAUCAACAACUUCUGCAAUAAAUGGUAUUGCUCAGCAUGAUACCUUAGGGCAGUGUUUCUCAACCUUGGGCCGCCAGCUGUUUUUGGGACUACAUCUCCCAUCAUCCCUGAUCACUGGCCCUGCUAGCUAUGGAUGAUGGGAGUUGUAGUCCAAAAACAGCUGGAGGCCCAAGGUUGAGAAAUGCCUUGAGGCAUGGGUAGGCAAACUAAGGUCCGUGGGCAGGAUCCGGCCCAAUCGCCUUCUCAAUCUAGCCUGCGGACGGUCCAGGAAUCAGCGUGUUUUUACAUGAGUAGAAUUUGUCCUUUUAUUUAAAAGGCAUCUCUGGGUUAUUUGUGGGGCCUUCCUGGUGUUCUUACAUGAGUAGAAUGUGUGCUUUUAUUUAAAAUGUAAGAUUGUCCGCAGAAUCCGUUUCUCACUAUGGUGACCUGAGGUGAGGCCAUUUGAGCAGUAACCCUAAGCUUGUAAACUCCUUUUCAUGGGAGAGCUCCGCUACUUUCUGCCUGGUUUUUAAAUUGUUAGUUAAUGUCAAAACCCAAGCAAACAGUUUCACAGAAUUAAACAAUUAGAGAUAGUUUUAGGUUGAGCUGACCCUUCUUCCAUAACGCAGUUUGUGGUUAUUGCCGCAGGUGGUAGGUACACCUAGGGAUGUGGGAGGAAAUUGAUUCACUUUGCAAUUCAAUGUGAACCUACCUAAUUCACACUUUCUGAAAUGACACAUAAACUGGGAACACAGCCAUCCCAAUACAUUCACACUUAUUUGAAUUUUUCAGUGAAGUUAUCGAUCCAAGUAAUGUGUACAGAAAUGCAUAUGCUAGGGUAGAGUGUGCAUAUAAAUGUAUAUAUUAAUUAAAAUAAUUCACAAAGACACAUUAUAUUAUGAAAACUGCUUUGCAAAAGUAUGUCAAUGAGGCAAAAUUGCAUACAAAAAAAAUAUAUAUUAGGAGAAAUUUGCAUUAGCAGGCUGGUUGAUUUUUUGUGAGGACUUUUUAAAAAUUUCCAAGUGUGUGGAGAAGUGUGGAGAACUGAAUUUGAGAUUGAAAAAAAUGAGAAAUUGAGGAAGCAAACUGGUACAUCCUCCACCCCCUACUUACACCCCUGAUAGUCUGUUUUUCUUAGAUACAGAGGACGCUAUCCCAUCACUAGUGUUCAAGCAAGAUUCAACUGCCAAUCUUCAUUUGUAUAUGGAACAGGGAAGGCUACUUUGUCCUUUGCCUCAGGCAACAAAAUGUCUUGGGCAGCCUUGUCUUCAGCAAACCAUAUUUGAGCUUUGGAUAUGUUUUUUGCUGUUCAUAUUUGUUGUACUAAACAUCUUUUCAUGAUUGCUUUAAUUUGUAUUCUUAGAAUUAAAUUGUAUAACCUUUAGGGCCAAAAGGAAAAGUUAAAAUAUUAAAAUAAAUAUUUUUUGGUCACCAUACCGAACCACGAUCCCACUGUCGACAAAGCCCAUACGCUGCCAAAUUUCUCUAGACUUCACAUGCAGAAAUAUGACAAAACAAGCCCUUUCAUUAAUAAUAUGGAAUGGUUAGAUUUUUCUCUUUCUAUUUUUGUUCUAGCCAAAAACAAGGAGGAAGAGAGAAGCCUUUAUAAGCCACAUUACUAUUGUGGUAAUACUGUCUGCUCUGUGGGCCAAACACAAAAGGCUCAGGAGUUGUAAAUGGCUCAUAAAACUGAAGUUCACUGUGGCCACAUAUAUAAGCAGUGGGGGGAAAGCUGAGAAGAAUGCUCCCAAAGGACUGUACCCAGCUACUGAGCUUCUCUGCUGUUAUUUUUACCCUGAACUAAAAAUGUGCAAGGUGCUUUAAAGGAAAUGUAAUCAUUGGCCAAAAAAAUAAAAUAACAUAAUGUUCUUCAACAGCAGAAGGACGGGAUUGUUUUCCAAAACAGUUGUAAUCUAGAAAAGAGCAAUAGUAUUUGACAGCCAGAUAGUGCUCUGGAGGCCAUAAUCAACCAUCACUAUACUUCAUUCAGGUACCACAAGCGUGAAAUAUAUUGUACAUUAAAGGAGGAAAAGCCAGUGCUCAGAGAAAAGGUUGUCAGGUUACCGUAUACCCUGAAAAUCAUCCAUAUAUCUUUUAAAUCUCAUGAUGCAGCAAGAGUCAAGGCUAGGUUUUCCCACAUGUUUCCUCCCCAUGUCUUAGUCAGUGUGUUUAAUCCACAUGUUUUUCCCCACUUCAGAUAUCAGAAGAGUGAUCAGGGCUGGAAACUUGUGGAAGAGGUUAAUCCUUUCCCCAUGCACAACGCUCCUAUUGAAAAUCUGCCCCCUGCCCCACCUAAUUUAUUUUCCAUUUUCUUUCUGAAUCAUCUUGUUACUUUUGCUAACUGGCCUUUCUAGGGAAAUUAAUUUGAAUUUAUCCAUCUUAAACUCCCUGAACUGGGUAGGUGAGGACAGAGAUUUCAGUUAGGAGACAGGAGAAUGAUACGUAGUUAUUUCAUGUAUAAUUGCACAAUUACCUUUUUAAUUGCUUCCUUGCCACAACUCAUUGAAAUGUGAGCAGUAAGAAGCACCUGAUUAUUAUCAACCCUUUGUUUCACAGCUUUAUGUAACUUGCAAAAAUGGUCAGACUGAUUUCAGAAAUUUACUGGGAAGAUGCUUUGGGUUGUUGUUUUUAAAAAAAUUCUUUUAAAUUAAAUUGCAUUUCAGGCUAAGGAUUGUGCAAAACUCAGAGAAUUAAGGUGGUGGGCUUGGUGUGUGGCUAUGAGAGGAAUUCAAUGUUGCACUAUUACGAUUGUUCCAUCAACACAAGCAUUUCUGCAGGCCACACAGAACAAUUUCACCUCCCUCUCCCACUGUGGUUUUUCCUGAACCUCCCAAGCAUAUUUGGGAAGGUGCAGGGGGAGGAGAGGGAGGGAGGGCAGUUGCUCUCAGGACUCAUUGGAUUGGCUCAUUGGACUCUCACAGGACUCAUUGCACCCACCAGUGCAGCUAUGUAGUUGAAUGCAACCCUAUAUGCAUAAGGUACAGAGUGCCAGUAAAAUAAGGAAGGUAUUCUAAGAGUUUUAUCUUCUGUCUUGGUGAAAGGGCCAGCCUGUGUCCUGGCAACCGAAUGAUAUGAAAAGAGAUCUCUGAUAAUGGCCCAGUGAUCUUUGAGGUGUGUGGACACUAUGCUGCAGUACUGAGAAGUCUGCAGGACAUUCUGACUUAGGUGUCAACUGGUAUUUGUGCUUUAUCGAAAACGUUCAAAGCAUCUUGCUUGGCCAUAAUUUUAUAUGGUUGUGAGUCAUGGAUUAUAACCAGAGCAAUUUCCAAGAGAUUAAAUGGCUUUACAGCCAGCUGCUGUGAUGUGAUCUAGGUCCAGGGAGACUGUGUAUAAAGUUACCAAUUUUAAGUGUAACAGGAAAAGUCUGCCAGUGUCCUUUCAAAAUAGCACAGUUCAGAGACCAACUAGUGUCACUAGGCCACUGGUCAGGAGGAGUCGCAAAGUUUAUCUCUACCCUUCGCCUACCAACUGCUGAGUGUGUGACACAGAAAAGAGAGCCAAUGGAAAGCAGCUGAGCAGGAGACACCCCAAAUGCUGUGUAAACUCAGCGGCUCUGGUUUCAGAUUGCAGAUACCUCUGGUACUUGUAAAGUAGAUGUUGUAACAACAGAGAUGACAUGUGGUGAAAGGCAGAAAUGUUUAGGUGCCUAUCCAGAAUUACAACAUCCUCUUUUGCCCUUAUCCAUACUUGUCCAAACUUUUAUAUAUUAUCAUUAUUGCUGAAAUUACCAGUUACAAAAUCCGUUUGCCCCCCAACACACUUUGUUGUCUGAAUACCAGUUUCUCUAAAAAAUUGCAUUCCCUUACCAACAUAGUGUUUUCACUUAUGCAUAUUUGCAGCUGAGUUUCUGAUGCUGGGGAGUGCCUACUAUUGACCAGGAACAUUUAAGUAGAUGCCACUGUCGCGUUCUAUAGUCUGUUCUGUGUAUAAUUAAGUGUCAGGAGCCAGAAUCAGGAGUAGGUCAGCAAUAACAACACCAGUGUCAGUGUCACCAGUGUCAGAGAAACCAAAACAGUGCAGGCCUAGUGAUCCCAGCAACUCUUCCCAGUAGGUCUUGCCCCAAUGAGGCAGUUGCAAGGACAGAAGAUCCCUGCCUUUCUACUGCUCUCUAAGGCACCACCCCCAGUUCUUUCCUCAGCAGGUUAAGGCUCCAUCGCCUUGUAUCUCGUUGCUUUGUCCUUUUCAUUUCUCUCUGUGUUGGAAGACCGGGGGAAGGGGAGCUGUUCACAGCAGGAGAGGGAGACUUUCUGGAUUCUGCCCCCCCCCCCCCGGCGCUCCUCUCCAGCUUCCUUGGCUACCUCUGAGCCUGGACUGCUCUCUGCCUCAGCCUCUUCCUGCUCGCUAACCCCUGUUGCCUCUUCAACUUCCGACUCCUCCCGGCCUGCUCCCUCUUCUCCCUCUGACCAUGCAUCGUCGUCCCACCACCAAUCCCCUGGAUCUGAACCUUUUCCCCUUGGAGGUUCCCCAGCUGGUACCUCCAAUUACUCCUUUGCAUGCAGCCAGUCCAUGACAUCAAGUGGCAUAUCGCUGAUUCAUUAGUGGCAUAUCGCUGAUUCAUUAGAUGUUAGAAAUCUGUCAAUAUUUGGGGCACAUCAGUUGAUUUCACAAGGGAUUUCUCUAGCCCCCAUUCUUCUCCAGCUACCCAUGGGCAGAAUGGUGAGUGGCAUGGAGAUGUGCACAUUCAAAUUAGUGGAUGAGUUUUGCAUAUACAGUAUUCUAGGUCUACCAGAUUGGCCUAUGAGGGGCAGAUUGUGCUCACUGGCAAAAAUUGCCCCUUUCUCCAUUCUAUAUAAGCUGCAUCAGAACUGGAAACUUAAACUUUGCAGAAUACUUUUAUUUCAGGUAAUGCCACAAUGCGAUUUACAGAGGGAAACUAACACAGGGAAGGAGGCCGUAGCUCAGUGGUGCUGAUAGAGCAUCUGUUUUGCAUGCAAAAAACCCCACGUUCAGAUCCCAGCAUCUUCAGGCAGGGUUGGGAGACUUCUUGUCUGAAAUCAUGGAAGGCUGUUGCCAGUCGGUAUAGAUCUUUCCCUACCUUUUAACACAAACCAGAGAAUGUUGAUGAUCAUAUUUUGGUUUUUGGAUUUUGACUUUUCAGGCAAUCAUGAAUUUUGAACAUUCACUGUCAACACAUAUAAGCAAGAGUUCAUUUUAUUGCAUUUAGAUGUAGUUUGUUUUCUGAUUGCUGAUGAGCUGUUUCCAGUAGCUUAUAGGCAGCAGGUAUAGCUGUGCUAGUAAACUGUAUAAAAUAUACAAUGGGCUCUUGAAGUAUACAUUCCCAGCCAAAGGCCAGAUCAAUAAUGCAUAUUUAAUCUGGAGUUUGGGUAUUUGUAGUAGAGCCAACUGAAGGAAAUGGUACAAGGGGCAAGUAAUGACAAUGCAGGGUGGCUAGGCUCACUGCUAUCUCCUUUUAACUUGCAAGGCCUCAGUGCUGAUAUCAGGGGAAUCAGACACUGUCUGGUUCUUUUCCAUGAUUUGUUUCGCUCUGUGCAUUGUCCCAGGGCCAAAGAGGCCAUAAAAGUAUUUAGCUCCUUGCUAUGUAUUUCUUUAAAUCUGAGAUGAAAUCAGAAGGCUUAUGUUACCUCUAAUUAGGGGGAGACUCGUGGCUUCAUUGCAGGAGUUUGCUGUGUCCUUGUCUGACUCUGAGGCACUGACCCUUCUCUUUCAUUCCUAUUUCUAUCUCUCACCUAAUCCCCCUCUAAAGUGAUUUGUUCCUUUGAAGGAGAUCUAGGUAGAUAGAGCUAGAAAGCUAUUUACUUUUAAAGUGACCAGACAUAGCUGCAUCCCAUAAUACCUUGCCACACAUUUCAUUCAGUCUCUCACCCUCCAAAUGAACUCUGCUUACUCUGCUGCACUGUACCACUGCAGGCUAUUACACUCAGCUUACGUUGUCUGUCAUAUUGUAUUGAUGUCACUGUGUUGUACUGCUAAAUGUGCUGCCUUGCUGUAUUUGAUCCUGCUGCCUGUCCUCUUUCCUCCCGGCGCUGGUCCUUGGCUUCUCAUGCAAUCAGUUUACUUCACCCACCAUCUGAGCUUAGUGGCUAAUAUAAUAUAAUGCUCUUUUGGCAUUGUCUGUGUGCAUGCUAUCUUUUACAGAUUUCUUGCUCUUACGUACUUUGCAUUUGUCUCCAUCACAGAGUUGGCAGCUCCCAUUCUCUUUUUCCUGAGAGUAGUGCUGGGUACAAUAAAUGAUUCAAGUGGGGACAUUUUUUGGCGGAAACAGAAAUGUGAUUAUCAAUAUAAUGCUCACAGGGCUAUCUACAUGAAUUACUAUUACCCAAGAACAGUAGUUUCCCAGGAGCCAAAUCCAGCCAACCAGUAACUUGACCAAACAAAUCAUAUGAACUUAGGAAGCUGCAUUUAUACUGAGUCAAGCUAUUGGUUCUUUGGUAGAAGGCCAUAGUUCAGCGGCACAGCAUCUGCUUUGCAUGCAGAAGGUCCCUGGUGUUCAAUUCCCAGAUAGGACUGGGAAUGUUCCCUGCCUGAAACCCUGGAGAGCCACUGCCAGUCCGUGUAGGCAAUACAGAGCUACCUGGACCAAUAGUCUGACUUGGUAUUCCUAUCUAGCCCUGUUCUUGUCCCCUGCCUAACAACAACUCUCCAAGGUCUUUCUAAGCUUUGCUAUCUGAGACUUUAUUUUGAGAUGCCAGAUACUGAGCUUGGAAUGCAAAGCAUUAUUUUUUUUAAAAAAAAAUUGCUGCACUGUGGCCUGCCCUGGGAAACCUUUCUACUAUAAUUCUCAGCCAGCUAGGACUUGAUCUAUGAAAAUGAAGAAUGCAGUCUUUGUCCAAACCACAAUCUGUGAAUGGGACCAAACUAAUCAUUCCUGGGGGAAAUGCAGAGAUUGUUUGAACCAGAUUGGAAGUAUGUCUUAUAAUUUCCCCAAGGAAAAAAAUCCCCCCAAAAGUAACUCCAUCGCCUCUAUCACCAACAGACUGGUCAAAUCAAAAGGUCACUUAGCAAUCUUUAGGCCAGGGAUCCAGUAUUGGAUGGGAUCCACAUUCUCAUUUCAUUUUGCUUUGUAGUUUUCCAUAGCUCUUUUCCCCCAUCCAUCUGUCUUUCUGAUUCCUAUCCUCUUCCUGUAUGCUCUUCUUGGGCUUUCUAUAAUUGGAUGUGAAAUGGUUGUGUGGCAUUUAAGGCAGGAUACUGAGGCAAACUGGUGAGCUUGGGGAAGAUUCAAAGGCAGCGUUUUUUGGAUUUAUUUUUCUAACGUAACUAAACGUGAUUUGAGUUUGAAGAGGGUAUUACUGGGAUCACUGUGAAGUAAAAUCAAUGUUGGUAGAGGGCAACUUCAACGGGUUGAGUGAAUUCAAGACAGAAUGUAUUUAAAGGCCUAUUGUGACUGAUGCAGGGCAAAGAGAAGUUGUACCUGAGACAUCCACUGAGUUUUCAGUGCCCCAUUUUCUGUGUUCAUUGCAUGCAAGGCUUAAGUUCCUCUUGAAAAAAGUGUGUAGUAAAUGGAAGAUUUUGAGAGGAGUGCCUUGUCUUUAAUGAUAUGCCUUGUCUUUAAUGAUAUGCAUUAUUGGCAUUAUUUUACAACCACGUAGUAGUGUGCAGUUGUUUUUCAACAAAAUCCAUUUGAAUUAACUCUGUACUCAUGACCUGGACAUAUGCAGUGCUGCUGUUAAAAUAAAAUGGUGGAAGCAAAGUAAGGGGGCAGUGGCAGCUGUCCAUGAGUGCCACUAGGGCAACAAGCUACUCUGCUGCAUGACUAUUUGCACUUAAGAACAUAAGAAGAGACCGCUGGAUCAAGCCCAUCAUCCAUCUAGUCCAGCAUCCUUUUCUCACAAUGUCCAACCAUAUGCCUGUGGAAAACCCAUAAGCAGAUUGAAGCACAAGAACACUAUCUCUUCCUUUGGUUUCCAGCUCCAGAGAUAAAAACUCAAAUUGGAAUUUACCAUCUCACCUCUCUAUACAUUGCUACUCAUAUUAGGGAGUUUUGCUAUUCCUAAUGUAAAUAUUGUCUGCUCUUUUGAAAUGAUCACACGUAGCACUAAAACCAUUCACAGAAUGCCAAAGUCAACAGGACUCCGUAUCGCUUAGUGCCAUUAUGUUCAAAACCUCCUUAGAUCAGACUUCAAAACUUUAUUAUUCCAUGCCGGGAUGUUGGUUUCAUGAUUCAUAUAUAAAUUGUUCAGCACCAAGAUCCCUGUUGAGUGCUCUACAAACAUUAACUAACAAGAGUAAUGCAAAUAUAAUUCCUCUCCUUUUCUGCAUGCUUAGCUUUGCAUUCUCCGUGCAGGUGUCCACAGCAGGGAAUGGGUCAUGCAUAUAUCUAUUUGGAGAAUAUACCAAGUAUAUAUAAACAGUGUUCUGUCAUGCUCAAAUAACAGCUCUCUGGGUCACGCUGAGAAAUUCUGAGGUGUUUCUUCUCCCCCACCCCAUUUCAACAGAGCAAGUGUGGUAUUUGCUGAUGUGGAUUAUCACUUGGGGAUACAGACUGAAAUCACUAAAGCAGGGGUAGGCAACCUAAGGCCGGGGGCCAGAUGCGGCCCAAUCGCCUUCUCAGUCUGGCCCACAGACAGUCCAGGAAUCAGUGUGUUUUUACAUGAGUAGAAUGUGUGCUUUUAUUUAAAAUGCAUCUCUGGGUUGUCUGUGGGGCAUAGGAAUUCUUUCUUUCUCUUUUUCCAAAAUAUAGUCCGGUCCACCACAUGGUCUGAAGGACGGUGGCCCAGCUCACGGCUGAAAAAUAUUGCUGACCCCUGCACUAAAGGAUUAGAAAUGAGCUUGUUUUUCACAUUUUUCUGAAUGGGCUUUUGUCAGCCAUGUUCCAACCAUGUUUGUGUUGCAGUGCAUUAAGUGGUGGAGAUACUAGUGAAGAUCCUGACAAUGGUUGUCUGAGCUGCCAUAGGAUGGGAGGACUGCUGUGAUCCAGUGGAGGUGUGGGGCAGGCAGAAGGACCAAUGAAAAGAAGGGUAAAAAGGAGAAGCCAAGGAAACCGGGACUUAAAGGUAUGGGCUGGAGAAGACAAAAGGCUGAGGGUGGUGAGUGAUGUGGAGUAGUCCAGAGAAAUGACAUGAAAAGGGUAGAAGGCCUGAAGGAGGAGAGGAGAGUAGGAAAACUGGGAGAGACAGCAGAGAAAACUAGCAUGCCCUGAAGCUGCAAAGCUGAAAUAACCAAACAAAUAUUUGGCUGUUGGCCUCUAGUUAUAAGAAUAAUCAGAGGGCUUCUUUGUAACCAUGUUGUAUUACAGCUAUAUCAGAUUGCUUCCAAUCCCAUCUCUGUGUGCACUGACAUCCGUGAGGGAUGCCUUGAUGCUCUCGUCUUUGAUGUUAUUUCUAUCCACAUGCAUUAAGAUUCCAAGGUGCACCCCAUAUGCAAACAGACUGCCCUGAGGCUAUAACAUUACUCUGUAAAGUCUGCUUUCUUCACAAGGGCUUUUUGUUUGUUUGUUUUGUAAUCCUGAAGCGCAUAGGAGUAUUUUCCCUCUGAAGAAUGAUGGCUUUAUUAUAUAUGUUACAGUGGUGUCCAAACUUUUUUCAAAGAGGGCCAGAUUUGAUGAAGUGAAGGGCCAUGAGGGCCAACCAAAGUUGCUGAGCUUUUUAAGGAUUUUACCCCAGGAAAUGAACUGCCACAGGGGCCGGAUUAAACUGACUGGCAGGCCGGAUUAGGCCCCUGAAACAGACUUUGGACAUGCCUAGGUGGAACAUGAGGAAUAGGAUGCCUUAGUAUUUAAGGAGCUCACGUAGGUUCAAUAGUCCACAUCCCUACCUCAAAGUAACAUUUCCUGGAUAGGACUAUGAAUUGGUUCUAUUGUCAGGAAUCAUGGGUAUGUUCAGAGGCUGUGCUGAAUGCAAAUAGCAGAGGAUGGCUGGAUCCAUCACAGCUCAGUUUGGGAUCAGCUGGUGGGGCAAGUGUACAAGACUAGAUGGAGCUUUGACCAGAUCCAACAAAUUUUUAAAUGUUUUUAUCGAAAUCUCAUCUUUCACAUCCACCUAAUUUCAGUACAUCCAAAGAUGCUGCAGAAGAACCACACUGACAUGGUGUUUCAGCAUAUGGUAGUCUUGUACAGAGAUGCCAACUUGAAUAAAAUAUUGGAGGGGGGGCACAUUUGAAUGACAAGUCCAUCAACUUUGGCUCAGCCCCCUCAAAUAUUUUGUAGGAGGUUGAAGGGGCUUCAGCCCCUAGGAGUUGGCUCCUAUGGUAUUGUCCUAGAAAUGAUCUUCCAAAAUCCCAGUUGAGUGCUGCUUCACCAAACCAGGAACAUGAAAAACAGGAAUUAACUAUCAUAUGGACACAGUCUGAGCCAUGAGUUCAUUUUCUGCUGCAGAAAGACAGGAACAAUAAAUGAUUUACUGUAUUUUUUGCUCUAUAAGACUCACUUUUUCCCUCCUAAAAAGUAAGGGAAAAUGUGUGUGCGUCUUAUGGAGCGAAUGCAGGCUGCGCAGCUAUCCCAGAAGCAAGAACAGCAAGAGGGAUUGCUGCUUUAACUGCGCAGCGAUCCCUCUUGCUGUUCUGACUUCUGAGAUUCAGAAUAUUUCUUUUCUUGUUUUCCUCCUCCAAAAACUAGGUGAGUCUUGUGGUCUGGUGCGUCUUAUAGAGCGAAAAAUACGGUAACCAUAAUAUAAAUACUUAAGCACUGUACUUGUGAAUUAGAUGAUAAAGACCUUUUAGUUUGAAGUGGCUGCCCUCUUUUAACCCAGAUGAUGCAACCAUCCUGGAAACUUAUCAAGAGUUUGUUAUCUGCAGGUAAAUUUGAAUAUUAUACAUGUCUAAAUCUAAUGUAAUGAAUAAUGAAUAAGUCUAAUCAUUAAUUCAGCAUGCUUGUUUUGUGUGCUUUUUAGUACGUUUAUAUCCCACCUUUCCUCCAAGGAACUCCAGUUGGCAGACAUUGUUUUUCCCUUUCCUAUUUUAUCCUCACAACAGCCCUAUAAUAUAGGUUAGGCUGAGAGCUCUUAACUGGCCAAAGGUUACCCAGUGAGCUGUGUGGCUAGGUGGCAAUAUGAACCCUGGUCUCCAACAACCUAGUCUCAUGUUCUAACCACUUCAACCAUAUGUAUAAUGAGAAUAAGUUGAACCUAAUAAAAAGUAUUAUAUUACUAAUUUUCUGACUUCUAGAUAUUCAUAUGCAAUUAACAUAAUAGGCAUAAAAACAGCAUAGGUAUGUUUAGUCAUACGACACAUAUUUUGAAAUGUAAUUAGCAAAUUUCCCCUUAAGGUGAAUUUUCUCUUAAACACAAAUUAUUUCACUUUACUGGGAUAAUCAAGAAAGCCUUGUUAGUUACAAAAUCAGACACACAAUUAUGUGACAGUCAAAUGCUGCUUUGCGGAUGACUUGGGUUUAAACACCUGCUUAGUUAUAACCUCUGUGGCUAUAUCUUAUUGGGCAAGCAGCACUCCCUUCAUCCAUCAGCUUUCCAUCUGUAAAGUGUGCAUGUAAAUAACCUGGAUUGCUGCAUGUAAAUAACCUGGAUUGUUGUGGUUAUUUCAAUCCAGCUGGGGGACCCAUGUGGAAAAGGAGGUUUCUGUAGAUUAUGCAAAUUCACACCUAGAUGUGCAUCCGUGUUUCCCCACUGAACUAACUAGAUGCAUCUGGGGUUUUGUGCAUCCCUUUUCCUAGUGUUACUACUUGAUAGACAGAACUUGAACUAGAUUUCUUUUAAAAGUGUUAUAGAAAUAAUAGCAGUACCCAUGAUGUCAAGAACAUAGUGAGGUAAAGACCUGCUGGACCAGGCUCAAGGUGCUGCUGUUAGUAUAUUAAAAACCCUAACAGCUUGGGACCAGUUUACUUGCAGAAUCCCCUUGCCCCAUGUAUGCCCACUCGAGCGCUUCAAUCUGCGAAACUGGCACUAUUACAAGUGCCACAUAAUGCUCAUUCCACAAACGUAAGAAAUCAAUCUUUUAGUGUGGCAGUACCCACACUUUGGAACUGCUUGCCUGCUGACACCAGGCAGCUGCCUUCUCUGUAUUCCUUUUGGCACCUGCUUGAAACAUUUUUGUUGAGGCAUGCCUAUCCAGAUCUAUAGAAACGUGGGGUUUUUUCCCUUUUCUUUUAGCUAGUGUUGAUUUUGUAUAAAUAUUUUAAUACUUGUUUUCAACUUUUUGUAAAUAAUUUUAAUAUCUUAUUCUACAAUGUUGUAAACUACUUUGAGGUUGUUGUUUUUACAAUCAAGCAGUAUAUAAAUUUUGUUGAAUAAAAUAAAAACACACAUCUCUCAAUGAGAAAGUGGUGUUGUUUUGGUGUCAACCUCCCUCCCUCCCAAAUGCUGAGAUCACUAUUUUGCUUUUAACCUCUCUGUUUAUCUGGGUUUUUUAUGAGAUAUGAAUACAUAAGAGCAGGUGCCCUUGAUCCCUUCUCAGUAUACUCAGCUUGUCAGAUGAGCAAGGAAAAUAAGCUGAGCAGCAGUGGAUUGAGUUAAAAUGCCAAACUAGAGUUUAAUAAGAAAUCUUGAAGUUGCAAUAGUUGACAUUGCCACAGCUGGACACCCUCUCUUUUCCUCAUUCAAAUCAAGCCGUGGAUUGUAGACAUCUUGUAUAAUGCCAUUGUAUUAAACUGCAGGAGCUUGAUGUAAAAUGAAGUCUAUAGCUCUCCAGGUAGGAGAGAGGUAGUUUGGAUUCUUACCAUAACAAUACGACUAAGAGGUGUGCGCGCUGACGAUCACAUAAGCAUGUCCUACCACCAUCUAUUGGGAUUUACUGGCAAAUAACCAGAUUAAUGCUUUUACAUUAAUGCAAAUAGCCAGUUCCACUUUGGCAUGUGAUUUCCCGUCCUCUGGGUGACCAGCAAAAGGUGGCCUAUCCAGCAGCUCCAUCUACGAGGCCUUCUGCAAUCUGUCGUGUGCUCCCAAGAAUUCCAUCCCAUUUAUUUAAAUGAAUACACCAUGCUUGGAUAAUUGCUUUCCAGCUCAAAGUGCUUCUUAGCAACAGCAAUCACUGCAGUUUCUAGGCACCAGCUGCAGGAAUGUCAUUUGAAUGCCAUGCCUUGCCAUAAGGAGCAAUGACAGAGACCAGUUUGGACACACAGGUUUAUGACAUUGGUCUUCCAUCCUCCCCCUUCUGUCACAUUAAGCAUUGUACUCCAAGUACAAGAUUUGCCCCAAGUGAUUCACUCCUGGAGCCCUUUAUAAAUGAUUACAUGAUCUGAAUUUUCAGUCAUGGAUGCACUUGUACACUCAACAGAUCCCAUGUGAUCAUGCUAGCAUGCAGAGUUCCCUGUUGCCAUUUUGGGGGGAAAGGGGAGUGUGUAUUACCAUGGGAGAGAUUAAUACAACCACUUGAUUGCUGUCUACAUGAACACAGCUGUGGACAACAGUGAUGUCACAGUACUGACACUCACCACAAAAUAGAUCCUAGCAUCUCAUGAAAGCUCCAAAUAAUAAAUAAUUCUAAUAAUUUUUGAAUACCGACUUGAAUCCAAGGAACUCCUACCACCAGUAGAAGUUACUUCUAUACAUACAAAGGGGAGUAUUUCUAAUACUUGCCGCUCCCCCACUUACACCCCACCAUCCCCACUGCAUCCUCCUGUACAACACUGCCAUUCCAAAGUACACAACACCCUUUUACCUAGAAGUGGUUUUUCUGGAGGUAGAACAAGUUGGCACAGUGGCAGCAGGAAAAUCCACUUAUGGAACUCUGUGUUCUCUGGACUCAGAAUAAAUAUCCACAAAUUUAUACACGUAUUUAUUCAUAAAUAACAUUACUAUAAUAAAUGAGUUGUGUCCAGUUGUUUAAGUGUUCAAACAAUUGGUCAUGCAUUGCAUCCAAUCCAACAAUGUGGUUGUGUGAGCAGAUGUUCUGCUUGUGCCAUGGAACUUCUCCUCAGUCUCCUCCUACAUGCUCACAUGCCCCCUAAUCUGUCUGGAGGUUUGGGGGGAAUCCCCAACACAGAUUAGGAGGGGGGGGAGGAGUAUAUGGGAGGAUGGAGGGGAGUUCUCUUGUGAAAGCAGACGUUCUGCUCAUGCAGUGACUUCAUUGAGUACAAAAGAUUAUCAUUUCAACAACCCUGCUAGGUAAAUAAGUAUUACAGUAUUAUUCCCACAUUGCAGAGAGGGACUCUGUCUCCAUCUCAGAGAUAGUAGCAGAAAUGAUAUUUGAACUGAAUACUUCCCUACCCACAGCAUAUACUCUUAGCUACUAUGCUGUACCAUCAUCAUAAUUAGCAUGCCCUGGGGGUUUUUUUUUCUGAGGGAUGGCACAGUUGUAAAUGACAAGGCACUUCAGGGAUAUUUGUACUGCCAGAUUGUAUUUUGUGAAAUGAUUUUCGGAAGACCAUGUAACAAUGAAUGGUUGCAAAUGUAUGUUCUUACUGAGUUGGUUUCAGGCGGUUCUGAGCAGAAGUUCAAGCCUCAUUCCAUGGCAUCUGUCCAAUGCAAGCAGUAUUAAGAUUGUGCUGCAGGUUUUGAAAAAAACAUGUGGUGUUUCAACACAAGUGUAUGUUCCAGUGGUAUAUUGCCUUGUAUGGACAGACCCUGCCCCCCCAAAAAACCCCUCCUAGAGCUAACUCAUGCAGAGUGGAAUUGAUGUGACUGGAUAGAAGUUGCCUCCCUAAAUAAAGCCACUCCUCUCCUGGUAAAUGGUUUUUCUGGAUUGAUUUUUCUUCCUUUUGAUAUGUGAACUCAGCAGACAAGAGCCUAGAGUCAUCAAGGCCUUCCUCUGCUGUGUGCUGCUCCCCACCUGCUGCACAUUCUUCACUUAGCACAACCCAAGUAUGGAUUCCCCCCCCCAAAAAAAAGUAAUUCUGGACUCCUAACAAGUCUAUGAUGUAUUGUGUAUCUUGCAAUAUAGUUUUGACUAUUCCAGAUCUUUCCCAUUUCUUACAUAGAUUUUUUUUUUGUAAUUCCCUUUUCUCCACCAUGCUUCAAACACAAAACCUGGUGUGUGUGUGUGUCAUGCAUAUACACAGACAUAUGUACAUCCACAUACAUUACCAAUCAUUCACUGGGCUUUCUUUUUGCUCUACAAAUAAUCCCAGUGUAAACAAUCCUGACCUAAACCUCACCACCAUGAGGUUCAUUUCCACUGAACCUCCCUAGCAUUCCAGUACCAGUACAGGAAUGGCACAUGGGGGCCAGCAGGGGGCACACUGCUGAAUCUCAUAACUCUCUGCCUCUCUGUGCCUUUUCCUCACAGAUGCUGCCUGCUCCUUCACCCUCUCCAAGUGGGCAAACUGGCAAGAGCAAAGGUAAGGAGCUUCCACUUCCUUUAUCCUCAGCCAGGCAGUCUGGUGCGGCUUUGGCCCAUUAAAUCAGAUUGGGCAAGCAAAUGGGAGUGGUGACAGUGGCAAGGAGGGGGUUCCAUAGAGAACGUGCCCAUGGCCUGCCCCUACACGCAAAUCAAGCUAACACUGACACACAAAGCUACAGAAAUUUUGAGUUGAUUCCAUGUUCUCAAUCUAAUAGAAAACAGCUGAAACCUAUCAAGAUUUCAAAAUUCAAAGGCCAUGCCUUUGCUUCAUAACUCUCUUCCGCCUCCAAAAACUCAAGUUGUAGUUGCAAUUCAAAUGCAUAAGGCGGGGGCAGGUUGAAUAGCCUCUUGACUAGAUAUUUGUUGUCACCAGUGUCUGUGAGUUUUCUGGUUGAUUAAUUGUAUAUGUGUGAGGCUACAAAACCCAUUGAUUACAUGUGAUUGUCUGCAGUUCAUUAACUGGCAAGCUGCCCCAGCACUGUACAGAGAGAACAAAUGAACCUUUCCAUCUAACUUCUCUUUUCCUCUGUUAAGCCUCAGUAAGAGACAGGCUCUGGGCUAAGGAGCCUGUGGCCCUCCACUUGUACUUGGACUCUGUGCCCAUCAGCCUCAGCCAGCAUGACCAAUAGUCAUGGAUGAUGGGAGUUGUAGUCCAGCAUUGCCUGGAGAGCCACAGAUCCCCUAUACCAGUUGUAGGCAAUUGGGCUCUAGGAGCUGGCUGGCAGCCAAGUGGGCCAGAAGUAUGUAUGUAGGAGCCAGCCAGGAGUUAAGUUAAAGAGCAACAAGCAAGGACCACAGCAGCCAGUCAGGUGUGUAGUAGUUUAAACCAGACAGCAGUUAAAAGCAUCCUUACACCAGAGACAAGUGGAUGGCUCAGUUGCUUAGAGCGUGGUGCUGGUAAUGCCAAGGUGGUAGGUUCUAUCCCCAUAUGGGAUAGCUGCAUAUUCCUGCAUUGCAAGGAGUUGGAGUAGGUGAUCCUCAGGGUCCCUUCCAGCUCUACAAUUCUAUGAUGCAAAGUUGUAGAGACAUAGACAGAAACUCUGGCUUUUUAUAACACCAAGCCAGUGGACUGAAGAAUUGGCCAUGGGGUCAGCUGACUGAAUUCUUUGUCGGGUUGGCACUGCAGUCUAGAUAGUGCCCUUGAACCUCAGAGCUCACUCUACUAGACUUUCAGUGGAUACAGUGCUCUGGUGGUGAAGAAUGAAAGGCACAGGAGCUUCACUAGUGGGGACCAGGGGUGCCAACUUGAAUAAAAUAUUGGGGGAGGGCAGGUAAGUCCCACCCCACAUAAUCGAUCACAUGAUACAUGAUACGAUCACACAUACUAUUUGAAUGGCAAUGCCCAUCAACUUUGAGGGAGAUUUUUAUGGGGGGGCAUGAAGGGACCCUGCCCCUAGGAGUUGGCUCCAUGGGGGGACCCAUGGCUAGAAUCUCUCAGGGCCGGUUUCUUCAUUGCAUUUAGUAUAUAAGGGCCUCUCACUCCUGUACAAGGAUGCAUGCAUUGUGUGACAUGGCAAUGGCUGUGCUGGUGUUCUUUUUAAAAAUCCUAGUAUAUGUUCAAGGAAUCGGAAACAGGAACUAGCUGUUUAUUAGUGCUGGAAUUAUUUUAGCCUUUAGUCACAUUUAUACAAUUAUUAACGUGGAAUAAGUCAAAUAUAGAAUAUAAAUAAUCACCCUGAAGUUCCCAUAUCAGAUAAUUGUGGUUAAAUGUGUUUUAAAAAGAUAUCAGAUACCAAAUCCAAAGCUACUGCUAAAAAAAUUAUAUCAUUAUGAGUUCUGCUGCCUUGUUUACAUUUGAUUGCAUUUGUUAGCUUCAAAGCAAUUUAACAACAGAAUAAAAUACAAGCAGAUAAAAUCAAUUAAAAGUAAAUUUUAAAGCAGCAUGCAAUAUAAAAUUCUCAUCCAGCAAUACAAUAAAAAGGAUUAGUCCAACCACCACCCCACCAAAAGAUGAGCACUAGAGUGGAGACUAGCUUAACUACCAAAGGCCUUGGUAAAUAAAAAUAUAUUAACCUGGCACUUAAGUACUGACAGAGGUGAUGCCGAGUGUGCUUCUAUGAGGAGAGCCUUCCAUGGGCAAAGCAAAAGCCCAUUAUUGUGUAGAUCCCCUUCAUACCAGCCUCAGCUGAGGCACGUGGCUAUAGGCUUCUGGUGAAGGUGCCAUCACCAUGUUUUUCUUUAUCUAGGCCUUUGGCUGAUUAACAUUCUAUGUCCUUUUAAAUGUUUUUGUGAGGGGGUGUUAUUGGUUUGUUUUCGUUUCUGUUUUUAUUAUGUAUUUCCUGUUCUCAUUUUGUACGUUUAUGUUGUGAACUGUCCUGUGAUCUUUGGAUAAAGGGCAGUAUACAAAUUUAAUAAAGAAAUAAAAUAAGGACCACAGAGUCCAGGCUGUAGAUCCUUGAGGUACUGGGGUCAUCAGUAACAUAAGCCUUUAUUGGUCAAACCCUGCACUUUGAACCUAGAAGCUAACAGAGAGUUUUAGCUGGAGCUGACCAAAACUGAAGCAUUAUUGUGGGGGCAAGCAGUUGCCCUGCAAAUCUGAAGCAAGAUUGGUAUUCAUGUUGCCUGGCUUUAGGAGUUUACUUAAUUGCUUCCAAUGGGUCAUAAAGACUCCAUAAGCCUCCAGUGCUCUCUCAUCCAUAGGAGAGGAAACUGGAUCACGGCCCCUGUUUUCUUACCACUUGGGGAAAGUGGGGGCCAGCUUAUGAUGAGACCUUGAAUAUUUUACAGAUAACUAGCCUUUACAGCAGUGUAUUAUACCAAUGAUUUGGAGUGUCCUUUUCACACUGUAAUGUCCAAGAUGAUUAAUAUUUCAGAGUUCUACACAAACACAACUCCUAUAGUGUUCACAGCUCAGCUUCCACCCCACUCUCUUCACCUCUCCGGUUCCUCUUUGUUGAUAUCCCCAGAUAUCCUCCUUGUCUGAUUUAUUCCAUCAAACUCCCCACUUCUUAGACAUUUAUAAAUAUUUUACUGUAUAACACAACACUGUGUCAGAAGUUAGCUUCUAAGCAAUCUCAUUCUGCCAUUCAACACAAAACAGCAUGAGUGGGUGCUCACUGGCACUGUGGGUUAGGGUGGAAUUGUUGUGGAUGACUCAUCCAAAUGCAGUGUUUUGUUCCAGAAACAGCAUCACUGCAGUAUGUGGCCAUGUCUAUAUAAUAGCCCAUGUUUUUCCUUGUUGAUGCUGCACCAGGUUAUCAAAACGUUAGAUAAUUCCACACCUAAUUUGCAUGGAUAAUUGCCAAUGAAUAUGCACACAGACAAAAGUGUUUCUGUAAGCAGAAAGCCUGCAAUCUGUAAAAGUGGCUUGAUACCGACACAGAAAUGCUUAGAGACCACAUAGAAAAAAGGAGGGGAGCCUUUUUUCCACGCAUGGAAGGAUUCCAUGCAUUUGCUGUGUGGCCACAAAUGUGAAUCAUGCAAAAAUGUAUGCUGUGUAUACCUGCAAGAAGCAAAAGCAAAUUUUAUAAACUGAGCUGUGACAUUUAGAAUCUAUACAGGAAUGACAAAACUUUUUAGUUAUCUUUAUUAUGUGUUCAGCUUUGCAGAGGUGACAGUAAGAAAUGGAUAAGGUACCUGAUUAAGUGAUUGGCAUGGUAUCUGAUAUCCGUAACAACCACUUCCUUAGGAAAAUUCAUGAAUUCUUUGGUCAUCCUUAAACGUAACAUGAGCUAAGUUGUCUUUCUAAUUUGCAUGGGGUUUUUUUUAAAAUGAGGUUUUGUUCUAUUUCAGCUAUUGUUUCUCUUCAAAGAUUGGAAAAUUGUAAGGCCCACUGUUCAAAGGUUUCAGAUGGCACAUAGAAUAUAUACAUAUGUCCAGGGCAUAGUCCAACCACUUUUAAAGUGGUUUUAACAGAAUAUUUGAGCACUGACUUAAAUCUCUUCCAUGAGAUCAAUGGAACUUAAGUACAUUAUAACUUUGACUAGUUCGUGCACACAAUGAAUAAUUUAUUACAGAGCAGGUUUCAUCUCACCAUGCUGAAGACUGGCAUGGCAAUAAACUUUAAACUGGAUAUUUUACUUAACAACAAAAUACAUUUCUGGAUACAAAAGAAGCAAACAAGAAAAGGGGGAAAGGAACUAAACAGACAGCUCAGGAAAGCCACCUAGCUUUCUGUUCCUAGGUACACUGACCCUUUAGAGGCUUUUCCCUCUAAAUGCAGUGGUUGUUAAUUAAAAGCUGUUUGACAGACCAAAUGUUCCCAUCCACAAGAAUUAAAACCUCAGACACACAAGAUAUACUCUAUGGGGCAAGUUCAAGAGAUGGAAUUGCUCUAACAAGAGAGCUUUGUUACUACUGUCACAACACUGGAAGACUUCAUACAACAGUUGGUUUAUUAGAAAGUUGCUGGACACUUUGCAGAUCCUUAGAGAAACUGUGUCUUUCUUCUCAGUAGACAUGACUGCAAAACGUUCCUACCCUGCAAUGUUAGGAGGGGCAUGAGCGUGAAGCAACCCUAACCCCCCAAGAAUUGUGUUUUGCAUCACUUCCUGAAGUUCAGUAGAAUGGGAAAAGAUGGUUCCAGGCUGGCAUAGAGUUUGAGAUAUAUUAACCCUCUGUAGAACACACUGCAUUUUUUGUCCCAUUAGCAAGAGUGUUCCAUCCCAACUUAACUCCUGUAAUACAGCAUGAGUUUGUUUUUAAAUUCAGCAGUUUCCAAGGGCAUUGUAGGUAAAGCAUCUUAAAACAGCCUGGAAGCUAAUGCUGAAAUGUUGUUCCUUCUGAGUUGAUGUCUUUCAUGAUCUGAGCUGCUGUAGUUGGUACCAGCUGUAGCUUCCAAAUUGUCUACCUGACUUUUAGAAAACAUCUAAAAGCAACUCUGUAUCAGGAAAUUUUUUUAUAUCUAAUGUUUUACAAAUUUUUAAUGUGCUAUAAGCCACCCAAAGUGGCUGGGAAAUCCAGACAGGUACAUGGGGUAUAAAUAAAACCACCCUCCUCCUCCUCGCUACUACUACUACUACUACUACUACUACUACCACCACUACUGUCUGUAAGGGUAGUUCCAAAUAGCUUGCAUUUCAAUAUUAUAGUUAUAAAGAAAUGAGCAUCUAUGCAUACUCUGUGUCUGAGACUGAAAGCCACUAUCUCUGCAGAAAUAGAAAUGGGCAGGGAUUAUCUUGAAACAAAAGCUACCUUCUAAAAAUCCAGGUGUAUCCUAAAGCCUAGAAUCACUCCAAUGCUUUUGAUGAAUAGGUUAUUACAAUACUUAGAGAGAUAACAAAGUAGUCUGUUGGCUGAACUGUGUACAUUUUCAGAAAAUAAUGGAAUCCUAUUGGUGCCCUUUGUCUCCUUGGGCAGAUUGUCAAAAAUUGACCUCCAGAUCAAAGGCAUGACCAGAAUGGAAUUGCUAAUUUAGCACUAAUGAAAUGAUGACUGGGUUAGUGUGGGAAAGGGUUUAGAUUACCUAAUUUCUGAUGUUGACUAAAAAAUCAGGUAAGUGUAUGGACAAUGUGUACACUAUAUCUGAAAUGAUACAAGGUGGAAGGUGUGGACACUUACAGUUGAAAUGGUGGUCAUGAAGCCCAUAUGAAAGAUGUUUUUUCAGUGAAACUUUAAUCCUCAACUACAUCCUGAUUAACUCCUAUCACUAGACUGGAAAGCAACAACAACUCUAAGAUAGCUGGAAAAACUGAUGGCCAGUACUCCACUCUGUUUCAAAACGAACUUUUUUUUUUGCCAGAACUCAAACACAAGGUGGGCACAUUGAAACUAAUCCCAUUAUCAGCUCUUCCAGAAACGAGAGGUUUUUUUAAUGGGUUUUUUAAACUGUGCAUCUCUCAAUCACAUUCAGAGUAUGUGCACCAGCUCUGGCAUGUCCUUGGCAGUGAUGAUGUUGGCAUUCAUACUUCGUGUGUCAUUGAGCAACACACAAACUAAGGAACAUUUAAAUGUUAUUGCUUCUGUUUUUUAGAAGUUACUGCAUAGGCAAGGACUUUCUGGUGGCCUUCCCAUUUAAAACACCCAUCUGGUGUUCUUAUAAAUACAAAGCAAUGCAAAGUUCCUUGUAUGCUGGAGUCCUUAGUGGAGGGUCUUUCUGCACUUACCUUUUAUAGGGGCAUAAUUGCUGGCUUUUGGGGGGAUUUGUUCGGCAUUCUUCCACAUGUUGUUGCCAUGAUUCAUCUGCUGUUCCGGAACAAUAUACUAAAACCAACAACACCUUUUUCCUUUACUGCAAAAAACCCUCAACAUUUGUGAAAGAUCUGGAAUGCAUUGUCAAUAUUUUCAUUUGUGUGGAAUGUGCUUUCUAUGUGGAAGGGUUGGGGAUUGGUAGGUGUGGUUUGGGAGGCGUCUGUUGUACUGUUGCACCUUGACCAGGGCAAGCUGCCAAUUUGGGCUGGGUGCUGUUUGGAGGGAAAAAUGGCAGGCAGCAAUGGGAGUUCUGGGAUAAGCCAUAGCUCAGACAGACACCUGUAAUCCUUCUUGUCUAACCUCUUCUAAUCUUCUAGGCUCCCUCAAUAUUAGAAUUCUAGAAUCCUAUGCAUUAUAUCCCCCCUACAAAGGGCUAUCCCCAUUUGCAUGCUCAUAACAUUUACUGGCUGGAGCAGGCUUCCUCAACCUUGGCCCUCCAGAUGUUUUUGGCCUACAACUCCCAUGAUCCCUAGCUAGCAGGACCAGUGGUCAGGGAUGAUGGGAAUUGUAGUCUCAAAACAUCUGGAGGGCCGAGGUUGAGGAAGCCUGGGCUGGAGGAAUGAGAGUAUAUAAGGGCUAUGACUACACUCAUGGAGCUUUUCUCAAUUUGACUGUGCCCUCUACCAUUAGUGUGGAAAGGAGAACCCUCCAGUCACUGUCUCUAGUAACAGUGACAUGUGACCAAAGGUGUGGACAGUCAGCUCCAAAUGCACUCCUAAAAAUGUUGGAUCCAGCCAGGGGUGUGGCACUGUUUUCUGGCACCCAGGAUGGGGGCAGGUGCUCGUGGGUAGGGGUGGGGUCAGGGCACAGAGGGUGCUCUGUUUUGGACUAGGACCUGAGAGAGUAAAGGUAAAGGGACUCCUGGCCAUUAGGUCCAGUCGUGGCUGACUCUGGGGUUGCGGCGCUCAUCUUGCUUUAUUGGCCGAGGGAGCUGGCGUACAGCUUCCGGGUCCUGUGGCCAGCAUGACUAAGCCUCUUCUGACAAACCAGAGCAGCGCACGGAAACGCCGUUUACCUUCCCACCGAAGCGGUACCUAUUUACCUACUUGCAUUUUGACGUGCUUUCGAACUGCUAGGUUGGCAGGAGCAGGGACUGAGCAACGGGAGCUCACCCCGUCGCGGAGAUUCGAACCGCCGACCUUCUGAUCAGCAAGUUCUAGGCUCUGUGGUUUAACCCACAGCGCCACCCGCAUCCUUAGGACCUGAGAGAGAUCAGGGUUCAAAUCCCCCCUCAGCCAUGCAGCUCAUUGAGUGACCUUGGGACAAUCUACAUCUCUCAGCCUAACCUACCUCACAUAAUUGUUGUGAGUACAAAAUGGGAGAGGGAAAGGUGCUGUAUACACCACCUUGAGAAGCUUGGAGGAAAGAUGGGAUAUAAACAUAAAAGUAUAAAUGUAAGUUCAAACCUCUCUCGGGGUGUGUGCAGAAUUCGUUGCACAGUUUAUCUAGGCCUUUGGCUUCAUCACACAGGAUCCUUGUCAUUUCAUUCUAGGUGUUAUGUCAGGCAAGAGGAAACCUGAGAUUUGAGCCAUGCUUCAAGUUUGAACCGUGACUAAUAACUUCUAUUUAGAGCCGGAAGGUAACAAAGAGCAGAUCACUUCUGACAGUACAUUUCCAUGCUCAACGUUUUCAAACCACGUGUAGCAAAAGGGCUAUUAAAUAUUGACAAGAUUACUCUUUGUCAUGUAAGAAUGAGCAUCAUACUAGGAAGAAUAUAAACAUCUGCCAUAAUGUCUAUCCAAUAGCCACAUUUGUACGAUUGUCGAUUUUUAUGGUUAAUGAAGCUGUGAAAGAUGGGUAUGGACAUGCAGUCUUCCCUGACCCCUUCAUCCCUUCUGUUGCAUGGUUUGAGAACUCAGGUUUAAUGCAAGUCAAGAUUAUUGUGCCAAAGUAAAACAGGAGAUGGGGAGGAAAGAGGUGAGAGGAGAAUAUGCAUCCACAGCACUUGUCCAUGAUAGGGAUCAGACAAAUGCAGCAACUGAGUCCUAUUGGCCCCCACCUGUGUCUUACCUAGGGGCUCAUGGUCAGAAUAUUCUAACUAUGCAUUAAUCAUGCAAUUUUCUAUGACUGAUUUUCAACCUUCAUGGAAGAGUUCCAUUGUCUUGGAAUGCAAGAGGAGCUCCAUUGGUUCAGACCAAAGGCCCAUCUAGCCCAGCAUCCUAUUCUCAAAGUCACCAGUCAAAUGCCUUUGGGAAACCCACAAGCAGGACAACAAGCACAACUGCAGUCUGAAUUAUUAAGCAGCAUUUUGAAUUAGUAACAUAGGAUGACUGUCAUGGGAAACUCUUGAAGAAGAUACCAGUGACUGUUGCAGAAUAAUCGCAAUGCUAAAUAAGAACACACAUACUUUUCAAAACACCAGCAGAAGCAUCAAGGCCAGUGCAUGAAUUUUGCCUCAUAUUACUUCACAUGGCAUCAUAAUGGGUCAUAAUGCAGUUCCCUAUGCAGACCUUCUGUGUUUUUGGUUUAGCUGCUUGUAAGCAUCUUUAGACUCACAUGGUGAGCAGCUGUUCUUGAAUGGCUCCUACUAGGACGUAAUGGCAACCUACUCAUGGACCAAUUCAAAGAAGCUUCUGUUUCGCAGCUGCUAUAAAUGCUUCAACUCUAAAACAGCCUUCAUAGGCGGGUCAGGCAUGAUAUUUCAGCACUCGCCCCCAUUGCUCUGUACCUAAUCACCACCACCCUAUACAGAACUCCUGUCCUCUGGCGCAUCAGUCAUAUACUGGUAUCAAGGUAGUGCAGCCUAGUGGCUAAGUGACUCAGCUGCAAAUCAGGUGGUUUCUGGUACAAAUCUCAAUUCUGCCAACUCACUAGUUGGCCUUUUCCCUAUGGAGCAAAGUCAUUCUCUUUAAGUCUCAGUCUCCCCUUCUGCAGUAUGGGAAAUAACAAUACUGAUUUACCAUACAGGGUGGUUGUAAGAAUUAUGAGUAUAUAAUGUGUAUGAAGUGCUCUGACCAUCUAAAUGUGCCAUACAAGUGUUAAAAUGUUGUUUCCAAAUUAAGCUACAUUUAUAUAUAUAAUUAUGCAGAUUCUGUAAUAUAAAAUGAGCACUGGUUUGGUUUUGGUUUUUACUUGUAGUGUUUAGAAUUCACUGCUGUGAGAAAUGGAUUUGGGUUUUUAAAAAUAUUUUUUUAUCCAGCAUUCUAGGGAAUAUUACUCAUUUGCCUGAGUGGUCAGUGUAUUAUUCUUCAUUUCUGUGAUUCAUUACCUUGGCCCUGCUACAACAACAACAACAGAAACCCAAACCUUGUGAUUUCAUAGCGUAUCUUCCUUUUUCUAGCCCUACUCAGCUCUUCCAUAGUUCUUAAAGUUGGUUCCUGGCUUGAAGUUUACAGGGCUUUUUGCUAUUUUUAGGAUAUGGAAUUAAAAGAGCGACUAAAGCUCUCAUGCUGUCAAUCUCCUGGGAGUCAAGACAGGGUUGUUUACUACAGGAUAUUAUUCUAGGGCUUUGUCCAGUCCACUUUUAGAUGACACAGUUGAUAAGGCUUCUGUUUCUUCUCUUGGGAGAACUAAGAACUCACUCCAGGCAUCUUCAGAGGAACUUCUCUUAUAUCAGUCUAGGAAAAUGGGCUUUGAGACUGUUUUGUUACAGCUGCUGAGUAUCUUUGCCUCUUCUUAUAUGUUAUAAAGCCAUCUUUUCUACCAGAAUCUUCCAGGGAGGCCGCUUGGCACCGCAAGCUGUUCAGAGGAGAUGAUUCUGGGACAAAAUAAGUGAGGCCCUCAUCCUCUUUUGUGUGUGUGCUUUAAUUCCGUUUCUAUUUUAGGAGUUGCUCUUUACUACAGUAAUCAGCCCAAAAGAGCUGUCGCCCCUCCGCUCUUGCAUCAGCUCCGUACGCCUGCUAGAUCAUAGCCUUGCAUGUUCUGUGAUUCCAGGAAUUUUCACAAUCUUUGGCAGCCUCUGGAGACAUUCAAUAUUUUCACAGGAUUAGGGUAUGUAGGGUAUAUAGACAAGCACCUUUUGACUACACAAUGCACUAGCAGUCAGCAGUUAAAGCAGGGCAGGCGCCAGACUUUGGGAAGCCUUUGGCACAGUGCCGAUUACGAGCCCCCAACACAUACAUCCGAACUAGGGGCAGGACCCAGUUCUGAUUAUGGUGGCUGCAGUGGCAGCUGCCAUGAACUUUCUCUGUCACCACCACUUCUGAACACUGGGCCCUUGGAUACAUUUCAGCCGUGGCAGGUGGCAGCACUUUUGAAUAGGAACCCAUGGUUGGCUCCCAUCCAUAGUGCCACCCACCAUUAUGAAUUACUCAAAAUGCAGUGCCCCAGCUACCCGGAAAUUGAUGCAUUUCAUAGAUCUAUGGUCGGAGACAUUACAGUUUGGGUAAGUUAAAAUGGCAGGCAGCCACCACAGAUGGGAGCUAAGUUUGGCUCCCAUUCAAAAGCAGCACUGCCAUUUCCCACUCAAAAGCAUCUGUGGGUGGCUGGGGUGAUGAUGUGAUCAGGCAGGUGAGGGGCCCUUCCAACCUCCUAGGGUCCUUAACCAGGGCCCAACCUGGCCAGCUGCUGGCACCAGGCAGAAAUAAAAGUACUAGAUUAGUGAUGUUCCUCACACAUCCCCAGAGCAAAAGUAUUUAUUGCAAAUGAAAGAAGCAACCUCCCAAACUGGCCUACCCACUAGCUGCCAGAAAGAUACACAGAGUAUAAACUCAACACUACUUCUAUUUUACAGCAAAAAAUAAUCUGAAAGUAAGCAGAUUUGAUUGAUUUUAAAAACAAAUCUUAAAAUUAGUCUUGAAACUAAAAAUCCACCAUAAGGUGUGGAUACUGGAGAGCAGUGGUCACUCUUGCCUAGGUGCAGUUACUCCUGCCUGCUCCCAUCUUCCUGAGUUGAGUCCCUGGCAGUGGCAGUGCUUGCUUGCUGGUGGACUAGAUGAGCUAGUGGUCUCUCCUAGUUGUCUCCUCCCAGCUCAUCACAGGCAGUGCUGUUGGGAAAAGCCCUUGACUGAAUGAGCAAGCAGAGAGGCAGCUAGAACAGGCCAGGCCCUCCUGCAGGCAUCACAACCGUUUCUCUGUUCCCAUGACGUGUGCUGUCCCUGCUGCACUGCAGCAGUUGUCUGAGCAAGCAGGUGCCAGGCUGAGCGGUGAGUGAGCAGGGAAUGUGGUAUUGGAGGACAGAGCUGUUUGUGCCAUGUGGCUGGCGUCUGCCCCUGAAACAGACUUGCACCAUUAAGUUAGGCUUCUGCCCACAGGCACAAUGGAGGCCUCAUUUUCCCAAUAUUAAGUUCAAUUCUCCCAUAGUUCUACUUCAGUUUGUGGUUUUAUUUCAAUUAACAAGAAUUCAUCAGCAUUUUAGUGUGAAUGUCUCCUAAACUACACAUUUUUCUGUGCAGUGUUGCUAGUAUACUCAUUUCUGCAAAGCACUUUCCUCUUAUAUGAUACAAUUGGUAUUCCCCCCCCCCACUAAUACAUGCAUUUGUAUACACACUUUACCCCAGUAUAUUCAUUUUUGUACAUAUUAGUUGACUGGAGAACUGCAUUGCAAAAUUCAAAGAACUGCAAAUUUCAAAGGAUGGCUGAUUUCAGUUCCCAUAUUUUUUCGGAAACUGGUGAAUUUGGUAUGUUUGCCUUUGAAUGUGAAAAGAGACUGAUUUCUCCCCUAUCCCUACCUAUGCCCAUUGUUGAAGUAAGAUUCAGCUGGUUGGCGUCAUCUUGUCUUUUGCCUCAGGCCACAAAAUGUCUUGGGCCAGCCCUGAUUGUUCUAAAGGAAACAAAACAACCUCCAUGCUUACUUGCUAGUGCCAGCCAAGAACAACAAGUAGCCGUAACUGGAAGCCUGAUGAUAUAGGGUAGGCCUUCUCUGUACUCCUGAAAAUGUAGAGAAAUGGUGCCAGACCAGAGUCCUUAGCUGGGCCUGCUGAAGACGUCCUUCUUUCAACAAGCAUUUUAAGUAAAGAUCUUUCCCAGACUGCAUCUGUAUUGGAAUGGUUUUUAAGAUGGUUUUAUUGUUUGUGUAUUUGCUGCCCUUGACUUCUUUGGGAGAAAGGGCAGGAUAUAAAUCUAAUGAUUAGUAAAAAAUAAUAAUCAUAGAAUUAUUUACUACUACUACUACUACUAUUUUUCUCUGUGCUCCUGUUAAUCUCAGCUCUAAUGUAGAGGAGGCAUCAAUAAGAUAACCUUCUGAUGACCUCAGUGGGUGAGAAGGCUCAUAGGGAAGAGGCUGUUUCCUCAGUUAUACCAGGCUGAGUGUCUAAAGAACCACCAGCACCUUGAACCAUGCCCAGAAGCAAAACAAAAACCAGUCCAAAUGGAUGUGAGAAGUGGUGUUAUAUGCCCUCUCAGCACCUGUCAAAAGAUGAACUGCUGCUUUCUGUGCCAGAUGAAGUUGUUGAAUCUACUCUCUUCCAAACUGGUCUGCUCUGCAUUAUUUCACUUCUGUGCUGUUCACAUUUUCUGCAGAUAUCACCAGUCCUGAUUUUCACCUCCUGUUUUGCCUAUCUUUCGUGAAGGCUGAGAAACUACCUUAUUUCCCCAGAGAAGCAGCAGAAAGCAAAAGCCAAGCCUGUAAGCUACAGGUGGGAUGGAAGGCCAGCCGGGGGCAGGUGGGGUGUUUGUGGAGGUGAAGAGUAGCAAUUCCCAUCCAUAUAAGAUUCUUUAAGUGAGGCCUGUCUAACUUGUGACACCAUAAGUGAAACGUGGCCAUGUAAUUUAGCCUGCCAGGUGCUUGAUAUAAAACCCCUGUUUUGAACUCCCAAACUAGCAGUCAAAAAUGGAAUGUGGAGUCUUCAGUGGGCCAAUUUCCAUAGCUACGCUUGGCUUGGUGGUUGUGCAGACUUGCAUUAGACGUUUUGCUGAAGCUCCCAGGACGAUGCUGUGCUUCAGUGCAGCAGUUCACAGGGUCCAGAUAAGGGGAUCACCAGGGCUCAGCACCAGCAGGUGUCCUUGGCAGGACUGUGCAUUCCUCUUGCCACUCUGCCCUUGCAUUGCUCUGGCAAGGGAGGGAGGGAGGGAGCACAGGCAGCCUCCUUGCCUACAUUCCUGGGCAAAAUCAAGUGAAGCCUUUUUUGUUCCACAGCGCCUCCAUAGCAUAUCCAUAACUGAAAGUGUGGGAACAGAUAGGAGUUUCCUGGAGCCAGACAGCAUGGCCUGUUUUCUUAUUUGUAUGACUGCACAUCAGAUGCAAUGGUGCAAAAAAUUCCAUGUAUGCAACAUGCUGGACUAUAAGAACAAAGAGUUGUGUCCAGUGCUGCUGUUUUGUUUGCGAAGUUGACUUCAGGCUCAUCCACACUUCCCUUUGUCCCAUGAUUUCUUCCAUUUAGUGUGUGGCAUGUAGGCAUGGAUCCAUUAGGUUUUUCUUUCAUCCUGCCAUUUUCUCCCAGGAAAGCCUAGAAGUUACCAAUCAAAUGGAAGUGUGGGCGAGCCAUUCGUCUCCUGCAGCAGGACUUUCCUUUCCUCUCCCCUGCAGCCCCAUAGGCACCCUCAGCAUCUACUUCAGAGGGUUGGGGAACCCUCUGGAGUAUAUUUUUGGGGUGUACAGGAAGAGGAGAGGAGAGGUCCACCUGUGCUGCAUUGGAUACAGCCCAAAGUCCCAGAUGGCAGCAGUAUUACCAUUUAGUAGCAGCAGCAAAGUACAUGAACUUCUAAACAUGGUUACAGUCAGACUUCUUAGCUGAUGGUGCCAAGGAACAAUAACUGGGAAAGAAAUGAGGGUGCUGUGGUUAUAUAGUUGUGAUUGAAUUCAUUGGUUCUCCUUUCUGGAGUUUGCUGUGCAAAAGAACUGCUCUGGAAAUCAACAGGUGCUGGAUUGUUUAGCAAAAGCUCAGAAUGCAUUCAACAUUAAUUUGUGGCCGGACAUGAGCAAAUGAUCAAGGACUAGGGGUGUUUCUAAAUAGAGGCUUAAUGUCACAUGCCGGUUGUUCAGAUAUCACAAAUGGUUCAUUGGCAGCAGCUGUUUUAUUUAAAAAAAAUUAACAGAUUUCUUGUUUAAAUGUGACGGGGUGGGACAGGAGACUGACAGCCAUUUUUAUGCAUCUGAUGUUGUGUGUAGACUGCAAAAAUCUUGCAUGCAUAAGCAUACUUUAUUUUGCAUUUUAAUAACUUAUAUGCCUCUUAAUGUAACAAAAUCUCCAAGUGGUGCUGACCACACAAUAAACACCCAUCCAGAAGCAACCUGGAAGCAUUUUGAAUUGGGAGCAUUUGGGAUUAGAAACUCCACAUUGAAUGCAGCUUCAGGCAGCCUGUAACAAGAAACAGCAGUAACUUGAGAACUAUUAUCUGUCUUCCAGUCUCUAGCCUUUAUUCACUCCCCCAUCCCCAAAUAUCACAUUAUCUCUAAAUUAAAUUGUAAGGCAAAGCUGUGCAUGCAUCCACAUCUAGAUAGCUUGUAAAUCUAUAGUCUGGUUCAGGUUAUUUGCUUGUACUUCUUUGAUGCCAAAUUCAUGCUGGGCUUUAGAAAGAUUUAGCAUUGGCUUGGAUCCAAACAUCCUACUGCACAAGUAAAAGGCACUUCUUGCUCAUGCAUAUGUGACUGUGUAUUAGCAAUUCCCUCCCUCCCCCGAUGUUCACAAGAGCAUUCAUACCAUGCCCUUCCAUUGUAAAAAGCAAUGCUGUUUGUUGCUUGCAACUUAUUAAAAAUCAAAACAAAAACAAAAAGGCACCUGAAUGUUUCAAUGUACAUUAAGUGUCCACUGGUUUGUAAAUUUCAUGUAUAUAUAACUGAUCAGAUGGUCAUCCAAAAGAGUUGUAAUAGAGACAUGACAAACAAGUGAGUUUCAAUAAUAAAUUUGAGUGGGAAAAUAGUAAUUCAGUUUUGAACAGUAUCAAGAGCAGAAUUCACUUCCAGCUUUUCCACCCACAGGCUUUUCAAUUACUUUUCCCUCUCACAGACAUGCACAGAAUCUUCUGCUACAUCUCCACAUGAAUUUCUUACGCUUCCUUCACAGCUUGUUGGCAUUACUGUUGAAGAUUCUUGUUGACAACCAGCUUGACCCUCCCUAUAGGACUUGGGUAUUCAUGUUCAGAGGGUUCCCUGACUUUCUAGAGCCAGUUUGCAGAUUUAAGAGGGCAACAGAUGGAGGAAAACUAGGAAACAAGCAAUUCCUUCUGUGCAAGUGGAAGUGGGUGGAACAGAGGGGAGCUGGGAGGGGGGUUGCUUGCGCAGCAGGAACUUUGGACCCAAGCCAGUGUCUUGUUGAUGCUCACAACAAAAGAUAACCACGUAAGAGAAGCAUCUUUCAAGAAUAUACAAUGUUCUCCUGAAGUGGGAACCCAAAUAUAACAGCUCUAGAUUGGUGUGAGAUCACUGGCAUAUGAAGGUGAAGUGAAAAUGUGAAAGUAACCCAUCUAUUUUCACCUCCCAGAGCCAAAUUGCUUAAAACAGUAGGAGAGGCACAGAAUUGUCAGGGCUUUAACGACAGGCCAUUCUGGACUGCUUCAGCCAUUGCCAGUUUCCUACAUGGAAUUUUCCUUCCAUACAGGAAAAGGCUAAUCCCAGUUCACCCACGAUACUCACUGGGUGACCUUGGGCCAACCACAACUUCUUAGCCUAACCUACUUCACAGGGCUGAAAAUAAGAUGGGAUAACCCAACGUAUGGCAUCCUAAGCUUCUUGGAGAAAGAAUGUGAUGCAAAGAUAAUAGGAACGGGAGUAAUAAAAAAGGGGGGAUAUUGCAGAAAACUGAUGCCUACCAAUUGGAUAUAUCGUGUUUUGCUACAUGAAACAUCCUGUAAAGCCAUGACACUAGUUGCAGUUCUCCUAUGCUUCUACAUAUAGUGGAAUUGAUGCAUAAUCUUGUGUGGCAGUCUUCUUGUAGACCCAGACUUUUUUAUAGGUGGAAAUUUAAAAAGCCUUAAAAGAGGAUUAGUCAAAUUCAUAGAGAGUAAGGAUAUCAGUGGCUACAAGACAUGAAGGCCAUUCUCUGCUUCCACAGUCAGAUGCAGUAAUGUUUCUGAAUACCAGUUGCUUGAAAACCCAGGAGAGGAGAGUGCUCUUGUGCUCGGAUCCUGCUUGUGGGUUUCCCAUGGGCAUCUUGUUGGCCACUGCGAGAACAGGAUGCUGGACUAGAUGAGCCAUUGGCCUGAUCCAGCAGGCUCUUCAUAUGUUCUUAUGAAAUGCUUCUCCUUUUGAACAAUUCAUCACUUCCAAAACAGACCCAAGUAACUGCUGGGGACAUAAAUCCCUGUACAACCUAGAGAGCAGAACUUUAUUUUCUUUCCUGAUUAACACCCAGAUUGGUUUUAUGUACAGCUGUUGCUUUAAAAAGAAAUCAAACAUUUCAUGUUGUUGAUAGUCUGAAUAAAUCCAUAUCCAAUGAGCAGUAAAUAAAUUAUGAAGCAGAAUUAGCUUCCCAAAGAUCUUUGGUGUAAAUAAAAUGAGAUGGUUUAAUCAAACAAUGAUCUAAGAUUUUAAUACUCUAGGUUUCCACCACCAGCAGAUGUAACAACAACAAAAGAUUUUUUUCUAAAACAUCAGUUCACCAGAGAGUCCAGCUAUUCAGACAGCUGUUAUGAGAGCAUAAACAGUACUUUUGUAAAAUUCAGCAACUUUAUGUGCAAACAAUCAAAAUUGUAUAAAUGACUAGUUAAUUAGGCAGCAAGGCACAAUAAAAGAACAUUUAUUGUGGUGUGUUCCUUUGAAUUUUUAUGUAACAUAAACCUUAAGAACAACCUUGCUGGAUGAGACCAGAGGUCCACCUUGUCCAGCCUCCUGUUCUCUCAGUGGCCAACCAGAAGCCUAUGAGAAGCCUAAGACCUGAGUCCAGCAGCAACCCCCCCCCCCCAAAUGUUGUUACUUUUCCUCCUAGGGGAGUUGCUCCAGUCCCUGGAUUGUUUUGGGUGCCUUUUUCAGCAGCUUUUUAAACUCUUCAAUAUUGUUUUUGAGGUGCACCGACUAAAGAAGGUAUUUUCACAACUGACAUUAGGAACCAAUUUUAUUCUUCUACAUGCCACUUAUGAAUACUUUAUUAUGGAUGUGGUGUAGAAAAUCACUCAUUUUUAAAACAAACAUAUAUUCUAGUCAAUGUAGGGUUUUCUUUCUUGGGACAACUUGGAUCGUCUUUGCAGAGAAAUAAUACAGCACCUAUCCUGUACUUCAGAGAUGGAGGAUUUCCCCCUGCAUUCCCUCCAGAGAAAGUGAUUGUUGGGGUGGAACCAAAGGCCAUAAUCCCUAUCCUCUCACAUAUACACACCCCAUUCUCACAUGCAUUUAAAUGAGACUACCUUAAAAGUGACUGAACUUAACAAAAUUCACCUUUGCACAUCCUCUUCAGAAGGAUCCUCUGGUGUUUGGCUCUGCACUUUAAUUCCAUGCCAUUUCAGACACUCCAUUUGAGCCUGUGCACAUGUACAUGACCACAGGGAGAAAGGUCAGUGGAUGAAUGGGGUCGUUGUGCAUGACAUUCCAUCUCUGAGUUUAUGGCUGCUGUGGGAAGUGUACAGCUAAUUUUGCACUGAUCUUUCUCCAUGUGAUUAUAGUACAUGGCCUAUACAGUGGAAUCUCGGUUGUUGAACAUAAUCCAUUCCGGGAAACCGUUUGACUUCUGAAACUUUCAACAACCAAGGCACAAUUGCCAGUCAGCAAUUGCAGUGGAGAAAAUGGAGUAAUCCACCUCGGAAGCCAUUCAACUUCCGAGGCGCGUUCUAAAACGGAAGCAUUCACUUCGGGGUUGUUGGUGUUUGAAAGCCAAAAAAUUUGAGUUCCGAAGCAUUCGACAACCGAGGUUCCACUGUAUUUUGGAAGUCAACUUAAAAAAAUAGAGGGGGGCAAUUGAGUUCCUACAACAUUUACUCUUCCUAGUCUCGGUACAAUCUGUUGUACCAUCAGACAAAAGCUACCUUAAAGGAAAAUGUUUUUCCUAUGAAGGUACAUUCUUUCACCUUUGGUGGACGUGCCCAAGGCCUUCUGGGAGAUGAUUUAUAAUGAAAUGAAGAAGGUAUUUAAAUAUACCUUUCUGAAGAAACCAGAGGCCUUUCUCCUGGGCAUGGUUGGCCAAUUGGUGUUAAAGAAGGAUAGAACUUUCUUUAUGUAUGCUACAACAGCAGCAAGAAUACUUAUCGCAAAGUAUUGGAAGACACAAGACCCACUCUGGAAGAAUGGCAGAUGAAGGUGAUGGACUAUAUGGAACUGGCGGAAAUGACCGGCAGAAUCCGAGACCAGGGAGAAGAGUCGGUGGAAGAAGAUUGGAAGAAAUUUAAAAACUAUCUACAGAAAUACUGCAAAAUUAAUGAAUGUUAGAAUGAUGUUGGAUUGAAGUUAAGGGUUUUUUUAGCAGCAAUGUUAUAAAGGAAUAUGUAAAAAUGGAUUGUUAACAAGUGAUAAUUUAAAGUUAUAAUAUAUUAAGAUAAAAGAUUAAGAUAAAAUCAAAGAGGGAAGGGAAUUGCUGAAUUAAUUAAUUGAACUGGAAUACAAAAAAGGGAGGUGUGAGGAGGUCAGGGAAACAAGCAAAUGAAAGAUAAGAUAUGGAAAGAUUGAUUUGUUUUUAAUUGUUUUUAUUUUUCUGUAUUUUGUAUUUUGUAUUUUCUUUUCUUUUUCUUCUUAUUUUUGUAAUCUUUUUUUGAAACUUUAAUAAAUAUUAUUUAAAAAAAUAAAGGAAAAUGUUUUUCCUAAUAGCACAUCUUACACACUGAGACUCAUAUUAUUUGUAUAACAUUACCCCACUGUGGGUCUAUAUCUGUGGAACAGCUAAAGGGGAGAGAGCUAAUGAGCUGGCAUCAGUCAGAACUUCCAGCUGAAUCAUCUAACUUGCCCCGAAAAUUGUUCACAUCUUGCUGGGGCCUGAGAAAUAAUUUCCCAUGAAGAACCAAUCUUAGCUUGCGAGAGCCACAGCUCCAAAUGACUUCUGUUAAGUAAUGCAGUGCAGCCACUGACUGAGGGCUUAUCCAAACGAUCAGUUCAAAGCAUGCUCUCAACAACAGCUGUGUAGGCUUUGCAGGAUAGCCCUGCAAGCCAUAAUUUACAGUCAAGGGGGCAGUAUCCAGCCCUAUGUGUAGCAGAUGUGGAGUCAGCUUGCUACAGUGGUGAUAGCCAUGCUAUUUCACAGAUACACACACACUAGAUAUUGGGCAGUCGAUGAAAGGGAGAAAACUUAGCUUCCAAAGUGGGAGCUAGAAGGCAGGAUCUCAUCCCAGCCAGGAAAUCCUGCCUUGAGAGUAUUAUGCUUCUGCAUAAAUAAAAAUACAUAGAGCAAUACAGAUGAGGAUGAUGAACCUGACAAGGGACUUCGCUUUCACUUUGCUGUGAAAUUGGUCAGUUUUAGCUCCUGUGCAAGUCUGGUGUCAUGGGGAAGUUUGGGAUUUGGAAGUUGCCUUAUUUGUUAUCAAUGACAUCAUGAUGCUCUCCAAAAGGUGUCCAUGACACUGGAGCAACCAUUCCACAUUGCAGUGAUCCUGCUUUCUAGGAGAGAAUUGUAUUGUUCCAGUAACAAAAUAUUUUGAUGUUUGCAGCAUGCAGAGGAUGGUGGAAUUGGGAUGGGGAACGAAUCAUUGAAAGGCAAAAACUUCAUUGAAAAAAGACAUGAGAAUGCCAUACAACAAAUGAGCAACAGUUGUGCAUUUGUUUCACUUUAAUCAUGUAUUUGUAAAGGUCCUGAGUGGCUAAGCCUCACUGCUUCUUGGUAAAUCAGGUACAGUUCUCUUGCACUGGCUCAAGAGACUGGAAUUGAACUUACAUUAUUGGGCCAAGUCUUAAUUCUGGGGCCCUCCAGAUUGCUGGACUGUUGUUGUUUUGCAGAUGUAUUCUGCAACAUGCCAUUGAUGCAAUCAUACUGUAUGAGUGGUGGAUUUAUGCUGGAGUAUCCACAAAUCAUUCCACUUUAUCUAGUUGUUCUGUGAUGCUUCGCUGAUGUUAUUGCACCAUUUCUGUCUGGAAGGGUAUAGCACAACAAAAGCAGAACAACACAAAAACAGAAACCAGAACUUUUGUGGUAUGAAAAGUUACAUGAUUUCAGCAGGAAGCUAUGGGACAAAGCAAAUCAGUAUGUCUGCCCUGAAACUUUUGCAGAUGCAACAUUGUGGAAAGAAGGAUCAUGUAUAACCACCCCAAUGCCCUCAGAAGCACAAAUCAUCAUAAAAAGGAUGCAGAGAGAGGCCCUCAGCUUCCACUGGAUGAGCCUUUCAGCUCACUGGGUGGUAUCUCAUGGUGUCAAUCCACUUCUGGGAAGUAUCCAUCAUCAGAAUUGAAAGCAGAAUUAAAAUAGUUGGCGAUACCUCCUGCUUCCUCCAGUCAAUUUUGGAUCUGUUCCAUUGGGUCUCCCAGUCCUGUGAAACUGAUUUAGGAAAUGCACUUGUGGCUUCAGUGGAUAGGGAAAAUUGCCAAAAAUUGCUUUCCUCCCUCUGCUCUGCUAUGGGAUCCCUUUCUUUCAGCACAUGGACUUCUCUCAGGUGUCCAGCCUGUCCCGGUCUCCAAAUACUAUUUCUGAGCUUGCUUUAAUCUCUCUGGUGCCACUAAUGCUUCUUCCUUACACCGCAAAAUUUGUAAUAUUAGUGUGAGUUUGGAUGACAUAUCAGCCCCUGCUGCAGCAGCUGACCUGGCACUAAAGCGUCAGUGGAGAAAUGCAGGCUGGCUGCUAUGGGCUGUGCUAUUAUUUCUCUGAGAAGCUGGUGCAGAAUGAGUGCGUGGGGCCGGAUCCUGAUCUUUAGUUUGCUGGCACAAAUUAGCAGAUAGCCACCUUCCACUGCCAGGGGGUACUGCAUGCAGAAUCAAGCCUCUCUGCCUGAUGGAUUCAGAU